GACGAACGCUGGCGGCGUGCUUAACACAUGCCAGUCGAACGGUGAUGCUCCAGCUUGCUGGAGUGGAUCAGUGGCGAACGGGUGAGUAACACGUGAGCAACCUGCCCCAGACUCUGGAAUAAGCGCUGGAAACGGCGUCUAAUACUGGAUACGAAACUGGCCCGCAUGGGCAUGGUUUGGAAAGUUUUUCGGUUUGGGAUGGGCUCGCGGCCUAUCAGCUUGUUGGUGAGGUAAUGGCUCACCAAGGCGACGACGGGUAGCCGGCCUGAGAGGGCGACCGGCCACACUGGGACUGAGACACGGCCCAGACUCCUACGGGAGGCAGCAGUGGGGAAUAUUGCACAAUGGGCGAAAGCCUGAUGCAGCGACGCCGCGUGAGGGAUGACGGCUUUCGGGUUGUAAACCUCUUUCAGCAGGGAAGAAGCGAAAGUGACGGUACCUGCAGAAGAAGCACCGGCUAACUACGUG
rnacentral:rRNA from 1 species